GGAUUGUUGCUCAGUGGUAGAGUGCUUGCCUUGCAAGUAUGAAGCCCUGGGUUUGAUCCUCAGCACCA
rnacentral:tRNA from 1 species